CGAGAACCUAGUUUACAACCCCCUCCCAGAUGUGAAUCAAUGGUGUGAUACAAAAAUGAGAAGUGUUUCUGUUAUGAGAUGCGAUAUGAGGUAAGUUUCACAAAGAUCAAUAAUGUAGCUGUUUAUUAAAAUUUUAAAAAAAUCACAAUAUGACAGAAAUGGCAAUCAAUUCCAUAUUUGAUUAAAUAUAAAUCAGUCAGAUGAGGAUAAAUCGAGCUGCCACAUAUUGGUAUUGCUCAUGCAUAGCAGGUAGAGUGGCAUGCAGAGAAGGGUCCGACUGCAGCCAGUAAACAACAAUGGACCUGAUCGAACAACUCAGCGCUUCUGCUCUUUUCUGUCCAUAAGAAACAAAUGGAUUGGUGGAAGAGGCAGGCCAGGAGCAAGGUGGUCAAGUAAGGCAUCCCCGGAGGCUAAAUGCCCUAAGGUCUGUCCCUGGCCUGUCCCACAGCUUCCUUCAGUGAUGGGUUGUGAGUGGCUCUGUUGAUGAUUGACUGUCUAUUGUUGAUUGAUGUCAGUCCAGACGUAGUGAUUGCUGAUGUAUCUUGGUAGUCUGUAAGCCAUUUUUAUUGCCAUGUUUUGGAUGAUCUGUAGCCGAUUCAUCUGCUGUGGUGAGGCUGUUAUCCAGGCUGGUAGGGCGUAUUCAAAGAGGGAUCGGAUGUAGCUGAUGUAGACUUUCAGCACUGUCUGAGGUGAGGCUCCAUAUUUUCUUUCGCACAGCGUUUUUAGGUGGUUUAGUCUUUUUCGUCCCUGUCUCUCUAUGUUCGCUAUAUGGGUUGUCCAGCGCAUGUUCUUCUGGAAGGUGACUCCAAGGAAUUUUGCUUCUUUUUCUACUUUUAUUGUUUCACCGUAGAGUUUGAGAUCUAUGGGUUUCCUGUUUUUUUUUUGCUGGUGCUUCUUGUGAAGAGGACACAUUGGGUCUUUUGUGGGUUCAAUUUUACUCGCCACAUGUUAGACCAUGUCUCGAUCAUUUCAAUAGACUUCUGGAGUUUUUUUGCAGCAAGUUGAGGACAUUUGGAGCUGGACCAGUAGCAGAGGUUAUCGGCAAAUUGCGAGACUUGACCUAUGGUGGGUGGAGGGUAAUAAAUAUCUGAUAUGUAGAGUAGAAAAAGUAGUGGGCUUAGAACUGCCCCCUGUGGGACACCUGCUUCAGGGGUAAAAGGUGAGGAUAUUGCUGUGGAAGCCUUCACUUUAAUUGUACGAUUGUGGAGAAAGCUAGUGAUGAUGUUUCUGAUGGAGGUGGUAGUUUGAGAUUGGAGUCUGCAAGCCGGUAACACAACCCAUUGUGCCACAUCUUGUCAAAUGAUUUUUCUAUAUCAAAGAAAACCACCAGGGUAAGUGAUUUUUUCUUGAAGUUCCCGAAGGAUGUCCUCUGGCAGUCUUAGAACGUUAUCGGUGUUUGAUUUUGUUUUCCUGAAGCCAGCUUGGUGGAUUCCAAGGAGGCCCAUUUCCUCAGUGUGGCUGCUCAGUCUUUGUGAGUACUCUCUCAAACAGCUUCCCGACAUGACUGAGGAGGCUGAUUGGUCUAUAACUUGUGACGUUGUAUGGGUCUUUGCCAGGUUUGUGGAUCAUUGUGACAACUGCAGAUUUCCAAGGUAGGGGAAAGUAGCCUUCCGUGAGACAUUCUGUGAAGAGGUUAGAAAGAAGGUGCAGGUAUUCAUCAGGUGAUUGUUUGAUGAGUGUGCUGUCAAUGUUGUCUUCCCCAGGUGCUUUGUCUUUUUCAAGUGAGUUUUGAUUUCUUCAAUAGUUUUUUACAUUUUUUUAUUUAUUUUACCUUUAUUUUACUAGGCAAGUCAGUUAAGAACAAAUUCUUAUUUUCAAUGAUGGCCUAGGAACAGUGGGUUAACUGCCUGUUCAGGGGCAGAAUGACAGAUUUGUACCUUGUCAGCUCAGCGGAUUUGAACUUGCAACCUUUCGGUUACUAGUCCAACGCUCUAACCACUAGGCUACCCUGCCGCAGAGCAGGUGAGGGGAUGGUCUACUGGUGUCGGAUUUGAAGUGUAAACUGUUUUCUGUAUUUCUCUGUCGACAAUGUUUUUCCAGUCUUUGUCAAAGAGAGGAUCGUCGGGACAAGAAUGAACAUUUUGUAGGUGGUUUCUGAAUAAUGUUGCUUUUGUUUCGUUGUCUUCGAUGAGUUGGUUUUGAGACUUUAGCACAGGCAUGAUAUUAUUGGUUUUGUCUCCGUUAAUUGUUUAGAUUUAGAGAAGCUAAGGAGUUUAGCAGCCAAGUCCGGGGAGCAGAGGACAAGAUCAAGGAUGUCUGCCAUGGAGGUUGAAGAAUGGAUGUGUGUGGGCUCGUUGGUGUUGAGGAUAGCCAGGUUUGUGCUGUCGAGGAUAUCCCUUAGUACUCAUCCCGCGUGAUUUGUAGUAUCACAGUUGAAGUCAAUGUGUUUGGCAUUAAAAUCUCCCAUUAUGAUGGUAUGGCUGUUGUUGUCUAGAAGGGCAGCGAUCAAUUUUUUGGAGGGUGUUGUUGCGGGUGGACAGUAUAUAGUGGCUACCAGAAGAGUUGUUUGUGCAUUUAGGAGUAUUUUUGCUGCAGUGUACUCAUUGUUGUUGAGUUCUUCUUUGGUGAGGUUGAAAAUGGCGGUUAGCUAUCUCUCUGCCUUCUCGCUGCCAUACUCCUGGUCACUACCAGAUGGUGCUAUUUUACCUACCAGGCUUUGCCAAUUACCCUCAGCUUCAGGUUGUUGACCCUAAAAACAGGGUCAGAUAUUUAUCAUCCCUCCAAUGCAGGAUUCAGGUCAGGAUUGUCGGUAGAGUAAUCUGAUCCUAGAGCUGUUGUUAGGUUAAACUUAUAUUUAAAGUAUAAUAUAUGCAUGACCCCAGUGGGAAUGUUAUGGAAUUAUAACACCAUUAUUACAACAAAUAAAUUAUUAUAAUGAUUGUAAUUUUUGUAAUUAUUUUCAGUGUGGUGAGG
ensembl:lncRNA